rnacentral:lncRNA from 1 species
GGUUGGUUAGAGUUGGUAUUUUUUUUGAGAUACAGUACCCUACUAGUAGUGCUUCGUUACAAUGCAUGAAAGACACUGAAUAUUAUUACACUGCCAAACUUAAAUGAAAGCAAACACAUAUGCAUCAAAUUAACAGGCGAACAUAACUAGCGGUGGUGGACUACUUCCGUCUGAUGCAUGGGCAUGGCCCUUUGGGGCUAAGACCACACACAUGCAAAGGCAAAAAGGAGCUGGUCACUGGUCAGGCCAGGGCCGUCGUGCCCGGCGGCGGCCUGGAUGCCGGUGUUGCACCUGAAGCAGUGGCCGCCGGACUGGAUGAUGGCGUGGGUGGUGGAGAGCGCGAGGAUGUCGGCGCAGGACACGGUGACGCCGCACUUCCUGUGCACGGUGUCGU